CCUGGUUUAAUAGCUGUGUACUACACAUCA
rnacentral:piRNA from 1 species